rnacentral:lncRNA from 13 species
AGAGAGGGAAGGUUAAUAUGAGGUGGUAGAGGGAGUUGUGUUGUGCUCCCAGUCAGAGAGGGAAGGUUAAUAUGAGGUGGUAGAGGGAGUUGUGUUGUGCUCCCAGUCAGAGAGGGAAGGUUAAUGAGGUGGUAGAGGGAGUUGUGCUCCCAGUCAGAGAGGGAAGGUUAAUAUGAGGUGGUAGAGGGAGUUGUGUUGUGCUCCCAGUCAGAGAGGGAAGGUUAAUAUGAGGUGGUAGAGGGAGUUGUGUUGUGCUCCCAGUCAGAGAGGGAAGGUUAAUAUGAGGUGGUAGAGGGAGUUGUGCUCCUAGUCAGAGAGGGAAGGUUAAUAUGAGGU